GAGUUUGAGGUUGCCGUGAGCUAGGCUGACAUCACGGAACCCUAGCCUGGGCAACACAGGAAAAACAAAGCCCGCGCUCCAAACCUCGCGCAGGCGCUCUGGAACCCAUCGCGCGCCUCGUGACCCAGAAUUCCCCGGGCCGUGGGCGAGACCACAGGCUCAGGAGGAGGGGGGAGUCCUGGGUUAAUGCUGAGGUUUUACGGUAUCUCCCUCCCUCCUGUGAGGAAUGAGAUGUUCCGACUCCUUAAGGGGCUGGGGCCCCACGGACGCGGCCUUUCCGCUGGAGUUGUGCGAUGGAGGGUCACCGCAGUAGCCUGAGAUCCGCGAAGGCCGGGACCCGGUUACCCGGCCCGCCGUGGGAAGUGGGCAGACGUGAGAGCACUGGAUGGUGUGCGCAACUGCAGA